CAAUUCUUGGUACCUAACACU
rnacentral:piRNA from 1 species